rnacentral:lncRNA from 1 species
CUCAAAAGGCGAUGCUUCCUGAGAACAGCUGGAUCUUGAGUCUAUUUCAGACAACAUCCUCAAGCCCUGGGACCCUGGGAGCAUCUCCUUACUUUUUCUAAUAUUUGUGAGCCAUUUCCCCACCCCCUGCUUCUUUCUGCAUGCAUUUGCAUCAUCCAUCUCUGACUUCUUUCUAGGAGGUAAGAGGCCUGCUGUUCACAGUAGAAUUUCCCUGUGAUUGGCCACCAUCAGCGCCCACACGCCUGCAAGGUCCCGAGGAAGAGCCCAUGUGGACACCUCAGCCCUUACACUGGACCACUUUUGGUGGUCUCACCAGCCAGCCAUCAUCAGGAAGAAAUGUGUCUUGGCUGGAGGCCCACGUUUCGUUCCAGCACAUCCUUUUUACCAAAAGAGCCGUCCCUGGAGCUGCCAACAGUGUUUACAAGAAAACCAUCCAACAAUAGUUUGGAUCUGGGAGCGUGGCCUGACCACAGACGUGGCCUUCCCCACCCUGAGAACCAACCAUCAGGAAGCCUGGCACAUGAUACGAAAAGGCAGAGGUGCAGAAACAGACGCUGUGCAUGUCCCUGCAAGAGUGAUACAAGAUGACUGAGAAAUGUCAUCUGAGAGAAGGGGAAGAACCAGCCCUACAUUAAAAAGGUAAAGAAAUAGAAGAAAAAAAAAUCAUGAAGUCAGUGUGUAAUUAUAGUUGAUGCAUAUAUUGUAUUUUAUAAUGCCACCUGACCUGCCUCUUGAGAAAUCUGUAUGCAGGUCAGAAAGCAACAGUUAGAAAUGGACGUGGAACAACAGACUGGUUCCAAUAGGAAAAGCUGUACGUCAAGGCUGUAUAUUGUCACCCUGCUUAUUUAACUUGUAUGCAGAGUACACCAGGAGAAACGCUGGGCUGGAUGAAGCACAAGCUGAAAUCAAGAUUGCCAGGAGAAAUAUCAAUAACCUCAGAU